ACUCGAAGCAGUUAAUUCAGGAUAACAUGAAUCCUAGCCUGGAAGGCUUUCGUUCAAAGAUAUUGGUUUGCAGCCAAUAGAUGGUGCUGGGAUGAUAUUUGGCUCACAAGCAGCAAGGGAAUAUGCUCAAGGAUCGCAAACGGAGUGGUUGCAGAUGCAUGUCGGUGGGAAUUUCGAACGAGCGACGUAACUCGGAGAAUCGUCGUUUGCUUACAAUGCAUAAGAACAAUCCGUUUGUCGUCUUUUAGAUCGAACGGGGAAAAAGAUUGCGAACGGUUUACAUGAGUUGCAGAAAAUGUGUUUCAUAAAUGGACUGGUGUUGCUAAAUUUUUAAUAUCAAAAUCUGUUGUAGAAAACGCAUCUAAUCUGCUGCUAUAUUUUCCAUUUGAGUAGAUUCAGACGAGUGUUUCAUAAACUCCAUUGUAUCGGUUACUGGACAAGAAUUGCAUCCGUGUUCUUAUGGCUUACCCGUCUUAUACGUUUGGGGAUUGUAGUUUGUUUUAUGGACAAGAAUUGAUUCCUUGUUUUUUUCUUC